GAGGCUCACAAUCCACCUCAAUCUGAAGAACUCAAAGAUCACCCUCCUCAGUUCAUCCUCACUAUCUAUCAUCUGUUCUGAGUUAUUCCUCACAAACCUGAUUGGAUUCUUUUGACACCUAAUGAUAGUGGCAUGGUGAGAAAAAUCUCAUAUUUUUAUCUCCCUCCUAGACCCACUGAAUUCUCGACUUUUGUUGCCAAAGGAUCUCCUGGUGAUGCAAUAAAAAAUGAUUAGCUGAAAGCAGUGCCUUGAGAUUAGUCAAC
rnacentral:lncRNA from 1 species